UGCGGCUGGAUCCCCUCCUUUCUAAGGAGUCGACCGUUCGCGAGGACGGUCGAUGCCUCACGCCCCGCAGCGCGGGGCAUUCCGUGUCCGGUGACCCUCGCACCUCCUCCCUAGUUUUGAGAGACUGGCGAACGCGGGGCCUAUAGCUCAGUAGGCUAGAGCGCACCCCUGAUAAGGGUGAGGUCGGUAGUUCGACUCUACCUAGGCCCACCUUUGCUCGGGUGGACUGCGGUCCAUGGGGCUGUAGCUCAGAUGGGAGAGCGCCGCCCUUGCAAGGCGGAGGUCGUCGGUUCGAUUCCGAUCAGCUCCACUCCGUCGGCCGUUGGGAUGCGCGGUGCACGUUGCGGCGUGCAGCGCGGAUCCAGACGGAUCUGGAUUCGUCAUUCGGUAUUUGACAAUUGCAUACGGGUACAAGAAAUCCGGAUCGAGAGCGCAUCAAGGUAGCUCGGCGAUGUGGUCAAGCUACUAAGGGCGUACGGUGGAUGCCUUGGCGCAAGCAGGCGAUGAAGGACGUGGCUAGCUGCGAUAAGCUUCGGGGAGCCGCUAAGCAGGCUGUGAGCCGAAGAUCUCCGAAUGGGGAAACCCGG
rnacentral:misc_RNA from 1 species